UAGUCCACGCCGUAAACGAUGGAUACUAGGCGUCCGAAGUGUUAACCCUUUGGGUGCCGUAGUUCACGCAUUAAGUAUCCCGCCUGGGGAGUACGGUCGCAAGGCUAAAACUCAAAGGAAUUGACGGGGGCCCGCACAAGCGGUGGAGUAUGUGGUUUAAUUCGAAGCAACGCGCAGAACCUUACCUGGGCUUAACAUUCAGCGACAGCUCCAGAGAUGGAGUUUUUCCCUUCGGGGACGCUGGGAUAGGUGCUGCAUGGCUGUCGUCAGCUCGUGUCGUAAGAUGUUGGGUUAAGUCCCGCAACGAGCGCAACCCUUAUCCUUAGUUGCCAGCAUUGAGUUGGGCACUCUGGGGAGACUGCCGGUGUUAAACCGGAGGAAGGCGGGGAUGACGUCAAGUCCUCAUGGCCCUUACGUCCAGGGCUACACACGUACUACAAUGGUGAAGACAAAGGGUUGCAAUACCGCGAGGUGGAGCUAAUCCCUAAAACAUCAUCUCAGUCCGGAUUGGAGUCUGCAAUUCGA
rnacentral:rRNA from 1 species